GGGCUUCCUAGCCUCUUUGAGUACUUUCUAUAGUCAGUUUUCACUUAAUAGUUGCCAUGUUGCCCUUGUUAUGCAUGCCCGGUCUGUGGUGGCUAUAGGGACUGCAGCUUUCCAGCCACCCCACUGCCUCUAUUCACUCACGUUUCUAAUCCAGGUAUUGCUACCUUAAUUCUUGCUCUUUCAAUAGCAGUUGCUACUCCUGGAGACUUGGACCCAAAGUUGCUUUAGUCCCACGACUGGGCCUGAGUCAUGGCUGGGGAUGGCCCCAGAGCUCCCGCCUUCAUACCCUUGUGAGACCCUACUUGAAUCUCGAUGCUCAAGUGCCCAAGAGAAGUGACUCAAGAUGCCUUAACAGACGUGUGCCCUGCUGUCAUACCAGUUUUCAAAAAUCCUUUCUUUGCACAGUCAGAGGAUGUCACAGAUGCUUCCAAAUGCAGUUUACUCUCGCUGACUGUAAGGCCAAUUGACCUGCCAAUACAGGCACUUAUCUCCUCAGCGCUGAUGUCUGCAAAACAGAAAGGAAACCGGUAAAAUCAGCGACUCCUUCUGAGUGGAAGGGUGUUUGUUUUCCUACUUGGUUUUUUUCUAUCAAUGAAGAAAAUAUCCAGUUAUUUGCAUGGCCCAUUUUUUUCAAAGUCAAGAGCUAUUCAGAGCAGAGAACAGCCUUUAGUCUCGCAGGGGAAAAGCCAAUAUUUUAUUGGUGUAUAUUGGGUCUGUCACAUAAUAAGUGAACGGGGAAAUGUCCCUACUGUAAAAAUUGUUUCCUUAGAAAGUAUUAGAAGAAAGUAAAGAUCUUAACACAAGGCUUCAGGCAUGUAUUUCCUUGUUUGAUCUAUUUAAAAAUAAAACAUUAAUUUUUACAGACUAACUCAUAACUAGGGUAAAGCUGGGAACAGCAGCUGAAAUUAGUAGAUCCUCACUAAUUUUCCUAAACUCAGGAUCUGACCCACGUAUUAGGGGCUUAAGUAGCGCCCUAAGUAGCAACUUGCAAAAGGCCUGUCUGCUGAGAGCUGCCAAAGCCUUACUGCCUGCUGCUGGGCUGCUGCGGCCAGCACCGCCACAUACAUCAUGAAAAUAUGUAACUGGAGACCCAUGAAGCAACUGCAGAGGGGAGAAGGGAACUAAUGAGGUGGUUUCACCAAGGUAAGCAAUGCGCAUAUUUCAUAGAGCCUGGUUUUAUGUACACAUGUCAGUGUACUGCAAAUAUAAGGCCGUCUUCUUUAAUAGUUAAAAAAUCCAUUGAUUUCAAUAAAUAUGGGUAUUGCAAGUAAUAGGUAACUUUUAUAUUGCUCUUUUUUGUCAGAGACCCUUAAAGUGUUUUACAAAGCAGCCUGGCAAUCAAUACCACGGUAUUGAAAGGGAGGCACAGAGGUCAGCGGGAUUUGUGCAUCAUGGCUUAAUGGUCUAAAGAUUGAACCCCUGGCUGAGCGUUGUCUGCUGAACUGCCUCACCCCAGCACUGGGAGCAGGGUCUUGUUUUACUUGUGUUUAAAAUACUGGUGGAACACCCAUCGCUCUUGUUUUGUUCCCUUCUGCACACCCUGAAGGAGAGACGCGCUGGAGCCGCGUGGGGCAUGGAUCUGCUCGUUGGCUUGGUGGGUUGCAACCAGCGGAGGUGCUCAGCAUCCUGAGAAAGAGGCUACAAGUGCCGGAUUCAAACUGGCUUGACCAGUGAUGCAGGACAAGGGCUCGAGGCAAGCCCAGUCCAGCCCAGCAGUGGGGGGAUACCCCAGCCAGGAAGGUGUUGAUGCAGGGAGGAUUUCCUGGAUAUACCACCGGAUCCAUGAAUCCUCUUCUAGAUUAGCAUUGCCUCAGACAAAGCUCCCGUUCAACCAGAACAGCCCUUUAAAUGAUUCCUUCAAUAAUUGAUCAUCGUUUAGCUGCAAACAUCAUUGUAUUGCGUGAAAUUCUUCAGGGAUCCUUUGCCACCUGAUAAAGUGAAGCCCAGUUCUAACUGUAAAGGUGAUUCUUCA